UCUUUUCCUUUUUUUUCAGCCGCCGCGGUAAUACGUAGGUGGCGAGCGUUGUCCGGAAUUAUUGGGCGUAAAGAGCAUGUAGGCGGUUUUUUAAGUCUGGAGUGAAAAUGCGGGGCUCAACCCCGUAUGGCUCUGGAUACUGGAAGACUUGAGUGCAGGAGAGGAAAGGGGAAUUCCCAGUGUAGCGGUGAAAUGCGUAGAUAUUGGGAGGAACACCAGUGGCGAAGGCGCCUUUCUGGACUGUGUCUGACGCUGAGAUGCGAAAGCCAGGGUAGCGAACGGG
rnacentral:rRNA from 1 species